UGAAUUAGCAUACGUCAGGCUAAUUUUAUUUUUUUUUUAGAGAUAUGUAGUACGCUACCUACUUCGUUUAUUUUAUUUAGAAAUAAACUUAGCUGAAAAUGUGAAUCAAUUAGGAUUCAAACUUGGGUCUCAGGUGCCAACCACCAAAUCCUUUGCUACUUACUCUAGGGACGGUCGGUAGGUCAGGCUAAUUAAUACAGGGCAUUGUGUGGCCGUACGAAGGUAAGAA
rnacentral:lncRNA from 1 species